rnacentral:rRNA from 1 species
GUCUACGCGAAGAACCUUAUCUAGGCUUGAAAUCCUACGAAUCCCUUUUAAACGAGGGAGUGCCCUUCGGGGAAUGUAGUGACAGGUGGUGCAUGGCUGUCG